rnacentral:rRNA from 1 species
AUUGAACGCUGGCGGCAUGCUUUACACAUGCAAGUCGAACGGCAGCGCGGGCUUCGGCCUGGCGGCGAGUGGCGAACGGGUGAGUAAUGCAUCGGAACGUGCCCAGUAGUGGGGGAUAGCCCGGCGAAAGCCGGAUUAAUACCGCAUACGACCUGAGGGUGAAAGCGGGGGACCGAAAGGCCUCGCGCUAUUGGAGCGGCCGAUGUCGGAUUAGCUAGUUGGUGGGGUAAAGGCUUACCAAGGCGACGAUCCGUAGCUGGUCUGAGAGGACGACCAGUCACACUGGGACUGAGACACGGCCCAGACUCCUACGGGAGGCAGCAGUGGGGAAUUUUGGACAAUGGGGGCAACCCUGAUCCAGCCAUGCCGCGUGCGGGAAGAAGGCCUUCGGGUUGUAAACCGCUUUUGUUCGGGAAGAAAUCCUCUGGGCUAAUACCCCGGGGGGAUGACGGUACCGGAAGAAUAAGCACCGGCUAACUACGUG